AUGGCCGACGUGAGUCAAAAUGUAGUAUCUGUUCUUAUCAGCUUUAGAUGUGAUAUGGGUUGUAUUUGGACCCAACAUAUUAAACCUAUUUUUGCAAGUUAGCGGAGUGUUUGAAGCUUGCGUCACCUCCACCACGGGUCGGCCCGGUAUUGCACUAUCUUCGGGAUUUUUGGUCUACGGACA